rnacentral:misc_RNA from 1 species
GAUGAAGAACGGCAGCGAAAUGCGAUAAGUAAUGUGAAUUGCAGAAUUCAGUGAAUCAUCGAGUUUUUGAACGCAUAUUGCGCCCUCUGGUAUUCCGGGGGGCAUGCCUGUUCGAGCGUCAUUAAAUAACCCUCAAGCAUAGCUUGGUGUUGGGCUUUUUUACGUCCUUGACUGGGAUGGGCCUAAAAAUUAGUGGCGAUGGCUUUUUUACUUUCAAGCGUAGUAAAUCUCGUCUUGCUAAAGAGGAAAAAGAUUUUUUUUCUGCCAAAAAUUUUAACAUUUAAAGUUGACCUCGGAUCAGGUAGGAUUACCCGCUGAACUUAAGCAUAUCAAUAAGCGGAGGA